GACAGAGGUGCCGAGCGUUAGGCGGAAUCACUGGGCUUAAAGCGUGUGUAGGCGGAGGCCUAAGUACCUUGUGAAAUCCCACGGCUCAACCGUGGAACUGCUUGGUAUACUGGGUCUCUUGAGCCACCUAGGGGCAAGUGGAACAAACGGUGGAGCGGUGAAAUGCGUAGAUAUCAAGAGGAACACCCAUGGCGAAGGCAGCUCGCUGGCCUAUAACUGACGCUGAGGCGCGAAAGCUGGGGGGAGCAAACAGG
rnacentral:rRNA from 1 species